rnacentral:rRNA from 1 species
AGUGAACGCUGGCGGUAGGCCUAACACAUGCAAGUCGAACGGCAGCACAGUAAGAGCUUGCUCUUACGGGUGGCGAGUGGCGGACGGGUGAGGAAUACAUCGGAAUCUACUUUUUCGUGGGGGAUAACGUAGGGAAACUUACGCUAAUACCGCAUACGACCUACGGGUGAAAGCAGGGGAUCUUCGGACCUUGCGCGAUUGAAUGAGCCGAUGUCGGAUUAGCUAGUUGGCGGGGUAAAGGCCCACCAAGGCGACGAUCCGUAGCUGGUCUGAGAGGAUGAUCAGCCACACUGGAACUGAGACACGGUCCAGACUCCUACGGGAGGCAGCAGUGGGGAAUAUUGGACAAUGGGCGCAAGCAUGAUCCAGCCAUACCGCGUGGGUGAAGAAGGCCUUCGGGUUGUAAAGCCCUUUUGUUGGGAAAGAAAAGCAGCAGGUUAAUACCCCGCUGUUCUGACGGUACCCAAAGAAUAAGCACCGGCUAACUUCGUG